CCCUAUUAUUUUAGAAUGUUAAUUUUUUGUGCCUGAGUAGUAUUAGUUAUGUUCUUGAAACUUAAAGAAUUUGGCGGUAUCUCAUUCCGUCCAGAGGAAUCUGUCCCGUUAUCGAUAGUCCGCGUUGGACCUUACUUAUUUGAUUUUGGUUUGUAUACCGCCGUUUAUUGAUUAUCUUUUUAGGGGUUGUUUAAUUUUCUGGUUUCUUUAUUUUGAUAUAUUUCAGGUCAAGGUGCAGCUUGUUUAUAAGUGGAAUGAUGGAUUACAUUGUUAUUUGUUUAUGGAUUGUUGAUUUUAAUAUUGGCAUGAAAUUGGAUUUGGUUGUAAUGGUUUGUAGAUUGUUAUUAUGAUAAUUGGUUCUGAGAUAUGCACACAUCGCCCGUCGCUCUCGUUUGUUUAUUAUAAUGAGAUAAGUC
rnacentral:rRNA from 1 species